AUUUAUUAAUAAUCAUGUAUUUGAGAAAAUGGUUAUAACGUUGUGAAUCAUCACUUAUAUCAGGUUAUGCUAAGAUGAUUAAUAGGAAUGAACUACAUCAUAAUAUGUAUAUAUAUGAGGAAAAAGAGAACAGCCCCUACACCAAGCCUAAGCGAAAACAUGAUUGAUGGCUGACAAACAUAACAUACAUCUCAACACUUCAAAAUAAAUCAACCUGAAAACUUGGAUAAUAAUUACAGCCUGAUAAAUAGAUUGUACACAAACGAUUUUCAUAACAAUGGCGACAAUCACUUGGUUCGAUUCACAUGUGUAUGAAACACGACAAACCAA
rnacentral:lncRNA from 1 species